UACGAAGGGAGCUAGCGUUGUUCGGAAUCACUGGGCGUAAAGCGCACGUAGGCGGAUUUGUCAGUCAGGGGUGAAAAUCCCGGGGCUCAACCUCGGAACUGCCUUUGAUACAGCAAGUCUUGAGUUCGAGAGAGGUGGGUGGAAUUCCUAGUGUAGAGGUGAAAUUCGUAGAUAUUAGGAAGAACACCGGUGGCGAAGGCGGCCCACUGGCCCGGUACUGACGCUGAGGUGCGAAAGCGUGGGGAGGCAAACAG
rnacentral:rRNA from 1 species